rnacentral:rRNA from 1 species
ACAACGAGUCGCCAACCCGCGAGGGUGCGCUAAUCUCUUAAAACCAUUCUCAGUUCGGAUUGCAGGCUGCAACUCGCCUGCAUGAAGUCGGAAUCGCUAGUAAUCGCGGAUCAGCACGCCGCGGUGAAUACGUUCCCGGGCCUUGUACACACCGCCCGUCACACCACGGAAGUUGGGAGUACCCAAAGUAGGUUGCCUAACCGCAAGGAGGGCGCUUCCUAAGGUAAGACAGAUGACUGGGGUGAAGUCGUAACAAGGUAUC